GAAUCUGCUUUAUCCUGAAUGCAAGAGUAAUGCUAAGGCUUCAGGCAAAAUUAUAAGCUACUUGCAUCCAUGGAAUGAAGUUGCACAGCUAGCUUCAACCUGGGGACUUAUCAUUUCAUGAGCUGUUGCGUUGCUAACAAGACACAGACGUUGCCGUUGGACAAACAAGGGUAAGAUUGUUUCGCUGUUUGUUCUGCAACCCUUCCCAGCAGCACUGCUGAGCAUGACUUAGAGAGAACUCUCUUUCUGGGAGGUUCAAACAGUUCAGUAUUUUUUGCUGGAGGUGAAAGGGGGCAUACUCAUCCUCAGUUGCAACAUUAUGGAAGUUCCCAGCAACCCCCAACAGGAACCAGGGCCAGGAAAGCAGAUCCUGAGCUGUUUUAAACACGCAGGAACUAGCUGAUCUCCUUGAAAUACAUGGGUUUUCAUUAGCUGAGGACCUGGAGAAAGGGUCCACUUUUGCCCUACCUCACAUGGAUGCAAUUGUAAACACUCUGGAUUCCAGCCUCCACUCUGCAGCAUUUUUAGAGGAGGACGCUCGUGAGGGAUGCCAAGACUUUCUUGUCCAAAGGACUAAAUACACUGUGCUGUCUCCAUUCCAGCUAGCUGGAGCCAAAGGAAGAGAAACAAGAACUCAAUAUGGGUAAAUACACAAGGUACUAGAUGGUUUCUUCUGGAAGCACAACAAACAAACAACAACAACAAAAAGGAACAUAAAUUGAUGAGGUGUGAUGUCACUGACUGAUGAGAAGGCGAAGGGAAAUCCUGAAGACCACUCUUCAAGUGGAGGAAGCAGGGCAGAAGACUCAUAAUCAUGUCCUAACAGCACUUCCAUGAUGGGGAGAUGAUGGACACACCUGCAUCGUGAUCACAAGUAUGCAUGAAGCUUGUGUGAGCCUAUCUGAGCUUACUUCAGAAAUUCAGGUUGACCUCUGAGAGUUCGUGCUAAUAUAUCUGGUGUUCAUUCAGUAUCUGGCAUAAUGGUCCAUGAUCCAUCACUGUGCUCCCAAGGUGUUCCUGCAAGACAGAUUUCAGCCACCUUUCCCUUUGUAUAGGUUCCUUUACCUGUGAAUCUGAAUGCUGUGUGGACUGUGAAUUCCUCUCAGAAGACAGUGUAAGUAUUUGGACAGCUAAUUUGUGGAGGUCCCUGAGUUACCACUGCUAGGAGUAAGCUCACUAGUUAAAGCUGCUUUAGGUGGAUGCAGCCACAGCAAAAGCUGAAUGAUAAAUAUUCCCAAAUGUAACCAAGCAAACUGGCAAACUCUAAAUAAAUACAUGAAAUACAUCAUAGUAGUCACAAACUCUCCUUGUUAAUCUCAAGGGGAAUAAAUUUUGUUUAGAGCCACAAACCAGGCCCUCUUUUACAGCAUUUUGGAUUUUAUGCUGCCUUACAAGUGCAAAGGGACAAUAAAGCAAUGGUAAAUGCUCAAAAAGUACUUUAGCAUGGACUGUGUAAACUCACUGAUAUCUUUCUAUCCUACACCACAGGCAUACAGGGUGGUGGUUAUAUACUGUGCUUGUGCACUGGUGAUGUCUGGAUGAAAAUGAGACAUGUAGCUAUAGGAUGUUGUAAAAAAAAAAACCAUCAGCCAUUCUUUUCAUGUUGUGAAAGAUAACAAAAAAUGGAGUUGGCAAUGGUAGUAAUCCCAUCCAUGUGUAAAUCUCAAUAGAAUAGCAACAGCAUUCUAGGAAAUGUUGUCAUCCCAAAAAUCCAAGCAUAGAAGAUAAACCUGUUCAAAGGAGCUGGUCUUCCCCUGGUAGUAGAGAUCAGUCAUCCUUGACUUAAAAUCCAAUAAAACUGGAUUCUACUCAGUCCAAUAGGAACGGCCCUUGUUCUCAAUGUCAGACAUGGAGUGGUCCAUCAGAUGGACGCCGCAGUUCACCUUUGCAUUCCACCUACACAAAUGGUUAUGAAAGGAACUUCUUAUGACUGCAGAGAAGUUGCUAGGUGAGAGCUGGGAAGCAAACAGGCAGUUGUGCAUCCUGGAACUCAUCUGUGUGAAUUUGUUAUAGAUGCCACGCAAUCUUCAGAAGAUACAAGAAAAUUUAAGACAAUUUAAGAAAAUAAGACAAUUUACCCAGAGAAAGGAGGUGAAAGGACAUCCAUGGGUUUAUAUCCUCGCUGAUGGUACAUAUCUUACUGCAAUUAUAAUUAUGCGUGUAUACAUUUAUGUAUUUACAUAUAUAUGUUAUAUGUAUAUUUAACUAAAAAGGAAAUGCAAAAUGAAUGGCAGAUCCUGGUAUAUGUGUGUAUUGUACUCUACUGUUGAUGAUAGAAAAUGGGAAAGAGUGAACGUGAAGGCUGCAAGAACAUAUGUGACAGUGUAAAUUGUACCUCACCAACAUUUGCAUGAAAAGUAGGGCUUAGCCUAAAUGGUUAUUUGAUAUUUUUUUCCUGCUUAGAUGCAAGCACUUCUAUAAUAUUGGCAAGAAAAACAAACAUCACGCAGGACAGACUCAUAUCCACCAUAGAAAACAUAAAAAAUGAGUAUUUGAGUAAUACUGUAUUGCUUACAGAAAGCUAAAGAAAGGGUAAGCAGGUACAACAUGUUCUUAAAUACUUUUGAGAAAGUGUUGAAUGUAUUUGAACAUAAUUUUCUAGCUUUCAUUCCUUGUCAUCUCUAACAAGACUGUGGCAUGUGAUGGCCCUCUGACAUACAUUGAUAGCCAUCAAGGUUUGUUACACUAAGCAGAGCGUAAUCAGAGCACCCAAAAUCGUGUCAGUUGAAACUGAGUAUCAUUGUGAAUCACAGGUACUCUGCUAGCAGAUAGCACAACAGAAAUUAAUCGCAGUGAAACACUUCACUUUAUGCUGUUAAAGGUAAUAGGUCUGGAAUUAAAGCUAAUUGCAUAUUCAAAUGGAGUGGGUAGCUAUGUUUUGAUUUUGAGAUAGGAACACGUCAGGCAAGCUCGUCUGUAACAGGAGAUAUUCAGUGCCCUGAAGUGAUGGAGGAGAAGAGCCCAGGAGAGCAUUCCUCGCAUUCCUGUGGCACUCAGCAUAUACAUAUGCCCCACAAAAAAAGGAAAUCUUAGCGCUCUGGGUUGGUAAGCUGAGCUUCAGAAAAGCUGGCACUUUCAUGUAGCUGCAGGCUUGGUUAAUUUGAAGAAACGAUACUCUCUAAUGAUGAGUAUGAGGAAUAUUUAAAACUGUUAUUAUUUUUUUUUUUCAGGGCAAAGGGCAUUAUAUUUUUCAAUCUGUUGGUUAAAAAAUGAAUUCCCAUAAGAACUACAAGUUAGCAACCACUAGCAAGAUAUGGCUGGGAUGUGGAGCUCUGCCUAUUUUGUGUCCUGUGGUCUGCCCAGAAUGAUCAGUAUUAGACGCAAAAAUGUUUUGCUGACAUGUAUGAGUAGGAUUAGCCAGAGUUAUCUUUGUUGAUGAACUAAAUGCAGAAUUUCAAGAGGUUUAAAAGAAUACUGUUUGAAGACAUGGGCAGUAAGAGGGUCAUCUGUGUCUAAAAGGACAAGAUUUUGUCUCCUGAGGCAUGUAAGAAAAAAAAACCAUUCUUCAUACUGAUGUCCAUAAAUACUGAAAUAAAAAUAAACGUUACAAGACCUUACUUCUGAUCAAAUAUAAAUCUAUGUCAGUGAGCGAAAAUCAAUCCAAUCCCAUUUCCUAAUGCCGGUAUUAUUUACGUUGCGUGAUACUUAUCAGUGAAAGGUAGACACUGCUUAUGAAAGCAAACACAGCAAUAGUUUUACACUGCCAGUAAUGACACCUUAAUAGCAGUCCCACGCUUAGUGUUGCCGGGCUGCUUUUGUGACGUGUUCAUGUCAAGUAACAAACAGGCCAACAAACAGAACAGGCCAAGAGACAAGAUCACUGCCCUUUACUGACCAUGCUUAAGUGAGAGGAAAGGGCCGCUCGGCAGCCCCAAAAGGGGCUCCCUUGCUUGGUUCCCUUCUUGCCUGUGCAGGGACAGCUGGUGGGUCGAUGGGGGUCAGUGACGGGAGGAAUGGCAACAGGUGGCCCGGCCAAAGCUGCCCAUCCAGCUGGUGGGGCUUCAGCGAUCGGCUCGGGGCGGUGCGCACCAGGCGCCUGUCCGAAGCACGUCGGCCCUUGUGCCGCACAUCCCUCGGGACUGCGGAGCCCUCCUUUUUAGGAUUUCAGCCUCUCAAACGACGGACGCGGACUCUCGGGGCUGGCUUCCCAAGCUGGCCGGCGUGCAGCCGGGCUGAGCUCAGCCCUGCUUCGGCGCAAACCGGCUCGGCCCGGGCCGCUGACCCCGCCAGCCACACUCGGGCGCCGCUUCUCCGGGACAGCGGGACGCGGCUGCACUGCCGUUGCCGGGGCCGGCAGCGCGCACAAAGCGCCGUGCGCGGAGGCGGCGGC